rnacentral:rRNA from 1 species
UCUACGGAGAGUUUGAUCCUGGCUCAGGAUGAACGCUGGCGGCGUGCCUAAUACAUGCAAGUCGUACGAACCACUUUUCUUCGGAGGAGUGGUUAGUGGCGUCCGGGUGAGUAACACGUAGGUGACCUACCCCGAAGUGGGGAAUAACUACCCGAAAGGGUUGCUAAUUCCGCAUGUGCUCCGGCAUUCGGUUGUCGGAGUAAAGCCGAAAGGCGCUUCGGGAGGGGCCUGCGGCCGAUUAGCUAGUUGGUAGGGUAAUGGCCUACCAAGGCGAAGAUCGGUAGCUGGUCUGAGAGGAUGAUCAGCCACACUGGCACUGAAACACGGGCCAGACUCCUACGGGAGGCAGCAGUAAGGAAUAUUGCACAAUGGGCGAAAGCCUGAUGCAGCAACGCCGCGUGGGUGAAGAAGGCCUUCGGGUCGUAAAACCCUUUUCUGGGGGACGAGAAAGGACGGUACCCCAGGAAUAAGCACCGGCUGACUACGUGCCAGCAGCCGCGGUAACACGUAGGGUGCGAGCGUUAUCCGGAUUUACUGGGCGUAAAGCGCGCGCAGGCGGUGUCGUAAGUUGGACGUGAAAUCUUUCGGCUUAACCGGGAGGCGCCGUUCAAUACUGCGGCACUAGAGGGCAGAAGAGGGGAGUGGAAUUCCCGGUGUAGGGGUAAAAUCCUUAGAGAUCGGGAGGAACACCAGUGGCGAAGGCGGCUCCCUGGCCUGUUCCUGACGCUGAGGCGCGAAAGCGUGGGGAGCGAACGGGAUUAGAUACCCCGGUAGUCCACGCCGUAAACGAUGGGUACUGGGUGUGGGGAGUAUUGUAUCUCUCCGUGCCGAAGCCAACGCGUUAAGU